rnacentral:rRNA from 1 species
CCUACGGGGCGCUGCAGUGGGGAAUAUUGGGCAAUGGGCGCAAGCCUGACCCAGCAACGCCGCGUGAAGGAAGAAGGCUUUCGGGUUGUAAACUUCUUUUGUCAGGGACGAAGCAAGUGACGGUACCUGACGAAUAAGCCACGGCUAACUAAGUGCCAGCAGCCGCGGUAAUACGUAGGUGGCAAGCGUUAUCCGGAUUUACGGGGUGUAAAGGGCGUGUAGGCGGGACUGCAAGUCAGAUGUGAAAACCACGGGCUCAACCUGUGGCCUGCAUUUGAAACUGGAGUUCUUGAGUACUGGAGAGGCAGACGGAAUGCGUAGUGUAGCGGUGAAAUGCGUAGAUAGUAGGAGGAACACCAGUGGCGAAGGCGGUCUGCUGGACAGCAACUGACGCUGAGGCGCGAAAGCGUGGGGAGCAAACAGGAUUAGAUACCCUAGUAGUC